UACGUAGGGUGCAAGCGUUGUCCGGAAUUAUUGGGCGUAAAGAGCUCGUAGGCGGUCUGUCGCGUCUGCUGUGAAAACUCGGGGCUUAACCCCGGCCUGCAGUGGGUACGGGCAGACUAGAGUGCGGUAGGGAGACUGGAAUUCCGUGGUGUAGCGGUGAAAUGCGCAGAUAUCAGGAGGAACACCGGUGGCGAAGCGGGUCUCUGGGCCGAUACUGACGCUGAGGAGCGAAAGCGUGGGGAGCGAACAGG
rnacentral:rRNA from 1 species